ACGAAGGGGGCUAGCGUUGUUCGGAUUUACUGGGCGUAAAGCGCACGUAGGCGGAUUGUUAAGUGAGGGGUGAAAUCCCAGGGCUCAACCCUGGAACUGCCUUUCAUACUGGCAAUCUAGAGUCCGGAAGAGGUGAGUGGAACUCCUAGUGUAGAGGUGGAAUUCGUAGAUAUUAGGAAGAACACCAGUGGCGAAGGCGGCUCACUGGUCCGGUACUGACGCUGAGGUGCGAAAGCGUGGGGAGCAAACAGG
rnacentral:rRNA from 1 species